GGAGAGGUGCAGGAGUGGUUGAACUGGCUUGUCUCGAAAACAAGUGUGGGGUAACUCACCGAGGGUUCGAAUCCCUCUCUCUCCGCCA
rnacentral:tRNA from 1 species